rnacentral:rRNA from 1 species
GACGAACGCUGGCGGCGUGCCUAAUACAUGCAAGUCGAACGCACAGCGAAAGGUGCUUGCACCUUUCAAGUGAGUGGCGAACGGGUGAGUAACACGUGGACAACCUGCCUCAAGGCUGGGGAUAACAUUUGGAAACAGAUGCUAAUACCGAAUAAAACUCAGUGUCGCAUGACACAAAGUUAAAAGGCGCUUUGGCGUCACCUAGAGAUGGAUCCGCGGUGCAUUAGCUAGGUGGUGGGGUAAAGGCCUACCAAGACAAUGAUGCAUAGCCGAGUUGAGAGACUGAUCGGCCACAUUGGGACUGAGACACGGCCCAAACUCCUACGGGAGGCUGCAGUAGGGAAUCUUCCACAAUGGGCGAAAGCCUGAUGGAGCAACGCCGCGUGUGUGAUGAAGGCUUUCGGGUCGUAAAGCACUGUUGUAUGGGAAGAACAGCUAGAAUAGGGAAUGAUUUUAGUUUGACGGUACCAUACCAGAAAGGGACGGCUAAAUACGUGCCAGCAGCCGCGGUAA